rnacentral:lncRNA from 1 species
UUUUCUUCACCGUACAGUUAUGCACUGCCAAUAAGUGAAAAGGUCAAGAAAAGCAGUAGCUCAAUGGUGGAAUUUUUCUGAAGUUCUUUACAGCAGGGAAAGUGGGGAAACCUCUUAAAGUGGUGUCUUAUUCAAUCCUGGAGCACAGGGAAAGAGUUUUAAUGCAAAAUACCAGAAAAAAAAGUCUGCAACAUCUCCUGUGAGAGGGGGGACAAAAGGAGAGUAACAAUUGCAUCUUGAAACACUCUUGAUUUGAGGUACAGUUUACUCUGUUCAAGUUGUAAACUCCAUGGAGCAGGUGUUUGUACAGUGCAUAGCACAGCAG